GGGAAGCCGGUGUGAUUCCGGCACGGUCCCGCCACUGUGACCGGGGAGUACGCCGUCGAGCAGGACGCCACUGACGAGCUGGAUGUCGGGAAGGCGGACGGCGUGCGCUGAUCCGGGAGUCAGGAUACC
rnacentral:ncRNA from 17 species